rnacentral:rRNA from 1 species
GAUGAACGCUGGCGGCGUGCCUAAUACAUGCAAGUCGAGCGAAUGGAUUAAGAGCUUGCUCUUAUGAAGUUAGCGGCGGACGGGUGAGUAACACGUGGGUAACCUGCCCAUAAGACUAGGAUAACUCCGGGAAACCGGGGCUAAUACCGGAUAACAUUUUGAACCGCAUGGUUCGAAAUUGAAAGGCGGCUUCGGCUGUCACUUAUGGAUGGACCCGCGUCGCAUUAGCUAGUUGGUGGGGUAACGGCUCACCAAGGCAACGAUGCGUAGCCGACCUGAGAGGGGGAUCGGCCAAACUGGGACUGAGACAAGGCCCAGACUCCUACGGGAGGCAGCAGUAGGGAAUCUUCCGCAAUGGACGAAAGUCUGACGGAGCAACGCCGCGUGAGUGAUGAAGGCUUUCGGGUCGUAAAACUCUGUUGUUAGGGAAGAACAAGUGCUAGUUGAAUAAGCUGGCACCUUGACGGUACCUAACCAGAAAGCCACGGCUAACUACGUGCCAGCAGCCGCCGUAA